rnacentral:rRNA from 1 species
GCCAGCAUUUCGGGUGGGAACUCUAUGGAGACUGCCGGUGAUAAACCGGAGGAAGGUGGGGACGACGUCAAGUCAUCAUGGCCCUUACGAGUAGGGCUACACACGUGCUACAAUGGCGCAUACA